rnacentral:snoRNA from 1 species
GCUGGGUGCUGAUCAGCAAAUGGUGCCCGAAUGUGAGGGUCAUAAUCGGCUUCAGCUGAUU